rnacentral:rRNA from 1 species
GUGAAAUUGUUGAAAGGGAAACGUUUGACACCAGUCAUGUGGGUGGAAAAUCAGUCUUUUGCAUUGGGGAGUUGUAAGGGUUCGGACCGCAAGGCCGGCUUUUGCUUCAUCUUUGGUGUAAGUGAUGCACUUUUUCAUCUACAGGUCAACAUCAGUUUCUUUUGCUGGACAAAACUCCGAGAGAAGGUAGCAGCUUAGGCUGUGUUAUAGCUCUGGAGCGAUACAGUGAAGGGGACUGAGGUUUUCGCAGCGUGUGCUCUCGGGCAAGGCUGGAUGGGUGCUAUGGGAUCGUUCGGGGUACAAUGCCUGGCAUUUUGCUUCGUGUCUUUUCUAUACUCGCUCAACUCAGCUCUUCCACGCUUAGGAUGUUGACUUAAUGGUUUUAAACGACCCGUCUUGAAACACGGACCAAGGAGUCUAACAUAUAUGCAAGUGUUUGGGUGGCAAACCCAUGCGCGUAAUGAAAGUGAACGUAGGUGCGAUCCGCAAGGUGCAGCAUCGACCGAUCUUGAUAUUUUUGGAUAGAUUUGAGUAAGAGCAUAUAUGCUGGGACCCGAAAGAUGGUGAACUAUGCCUGAAUAGGGUGAAGCCAGAGGAAACUCUGGUGGAGGCUCGUAGCGAUUCUGACGUGCAAAUCGAUCGUCAAAUUUGGGUAUAGGGGCGAAAGACUAAUCGAACCAUCUAGUAG